ensembl:snoRNA U3 Small nucleolar RNA U3
ACGCCCAGCCUUCAGGGAUCAUUUCUAUAGUUCAUUACUAGAUAUGUUUCUCUGACCUUGUAGAGUACCAGAAACCAUGAGGGGAGACGUAGCAUUCUCUCCUGAGUGUGACCUGGCUCUUGGUGUUGCUUCACUGCAACUGCCUUUUGCCAUUGAUGAUUGUUCUUUUUCAGGAGAGUAGAGGGAAAGGAUGCAGUCUGAGUGGU